UACAGAGGUCUCAAGCGUUGCUCGGAUUGACUGGGCGUAAAGGGCGCGUAGGCGGUUCGUACAGUCAGACGUGAAAUUCCUGGGCUCAACCUGGGGGCUGCGUUUGAUACGUGCGGGCUUGAGUGCGGAAGAGGGUCGUGGAAUUCCCAGUGUAGAGGUGAAAUUCGUAGAUAUUGGGAAGAACACCGGUGGCGAAGGCGGCGACCUGGUCCGAUACUGACGCUGAGGCGCGAAAGCGUGGGGAGCAAACAGG
rnacentral:rRNA from 1 species